ACCCAGCUGGCUCAGUUGGAGGAGCCUGUGACUCUUGAUCUUGGGGUUGUGAGUUCAAGCCCCACACUGGGUG
rnacentral:tRNA from 1 species